rnacentral:rRNA from 1 species
UACGGAGGGGGCUAGCGUUGUUCGGAAUUACUGGGCGUAAAGCGCGCGUAGGCGGACCUGCAAGUCGGGGGUGAAAGCCCGAGGCUCAACCUCGGAACUGCCUUCGAUACUGCGGGUCUCGAGUCCGGGAGAGGUGAGUGGAAUUCCUAGUGUAGAGGUGAAAUUCGUAGAUAUUAGGAAGAACACCAGUGGCGAAGGCGGCUCACUGGUCCCGGUACUGACGCUGAGGCGGCGAAAGCGUGGGGAGCAAACAGGG